UUAAUGUCCAGGAGAGUGGCCCUCCGCAUGGAGGGUUGACUAGAGAUUUAUCGGUAUGGGAUGAGCUUGCGUCCGAUUAGCUAGUUGGCGGGGCAACGGCCCACCAAGGCGACGAUCGGUAGCCGGCCUGAGAGGGUGAUCGGCCACAUUGGGACUGUGAUACGGCCCAGACUCCUACGGGAGGCAGCAGUAGGGAAUAUUGCACAAUGGGGGAAACCCUGAUGCAGCAACGCCACGUGUGGGAAGAAGCAUUUCGGUGUGUAAACCACUGUCAUGAGGGAAUAAGGCCCGCCUCCGGGCGGGAUUGAAUGUACCUUGAGAGGGAGCACCGGCAAACUUCGUGCCAGCAGCCGCGGUAAUACGAGGGGUGCAAGCGUUGUUCGGAAUUACUGGGCGUAAAGGGAGCGUAGGCGGAGAUUCAAGCGGAUUGUACAAUCCCGGGGCCCAACCCCGGCUCUGCAGUCCGAACUGGAUCUCUUGGAUAGUUCAGGGGCAGGCGGAAUUCCUGGUGUAGCGGUGGAAUGCGUAGAGAUCAGGAAGAACACCGAUGGCGAAGGCAGCCUGCUGGGGACUUAUCGACGCUGAGGCUCGAAAGUGCGGGUAGCAAACAGGAUUAGAUACCCUGGUAGUCCGCACCGUAAACAAUGCAUACUGGGUGUCCGGGGGUUCCCCCGGGUACCG
rnacentral:rRNA from 1 species